CGACCGCUUUUUGUCUGCUGCACCGGGAGGUAGCGGGGAAUCGUCUUUUAGGUCAGUGGUUCGUCACGACACGGCUACUGUCAGUUCUGGUUCACGCGUCAAGAAAUAAGUAAUUUUUGUUUUAUUGCUUACAAUAUAAUAGCCUAAUAGGUGCUUGUUGAAAAAUGAGAACAGUGGGAAUUGGUUGUUAAUUGGGAAAUUUGGGUGGAUUUGUUCUUUUUCAGUUGAAAGGCUCUUGUUGUUGGACCCGAUUGUCCCGACAAGAUGGGAAAUCAUGUUCCUGUUGCUGUCAAAGAAGGAUAUACUACUCCUUGAAUAUGGAGGAAAUACACUGAAGCUUGGUGAAAAAGGCUCAGUUUAUUGUCCUCCAUUCACCUUUUUUUUUUUGUUUGAGGUGGUUGUUUUUGUUUUUCUAAUUUUCUGUAUUCUUCCUUUGUAUUCCAUCUAUGGUAUUGGUCUCACCACCUGGAGUCCCCUUGCUUCUGGUGUUCACACUAGUAAAUACAACAAGGGUACCAUUCCUCCUUAUAGUCGUUAUUGUACCUUAACUCAAGCUUCUUUUUUUUAUUUUAUUUUAUUUUAUUUUUUUUCAAAAUGACUCAAAGCAGAUCAAAAUAUGGAGUUGCUAAACCCGUAUUUGUAACAAAUUGUUCUUCUAGUGUCUCUUUGUUCUAUAUUUCCAGAGGUUGUUUAACUGACUACAUAUAUAUCCAUUCUUCUGAUUUCUUCCAGCCUUACUUGCAAUUGAUCAAUCCAGAGAAUUUGUGUAUGCUUAUUAUACUCUCUGAAUAAUUUCCUAUAUUAUAAGCCAGGGGAGUAUCUUCUGCAUUUCUGUAGCCUAUGUUGUAAGAACUGUUGGGGUGUUCCCUCCUACUUGGAGGAUGAAGCCCAUUUUAGUGGGCUAAUAAUUUCUUUUUUUUAAGUGAACUUUCCUGUAUGGACUGUAAAACAUGAGGGGUAUUGGUAAGUUAGUAAAAUUAAGUAGGUACUCAGGUGGUCAUGUGCAAAGAUUAUCCAGUGACUAAGAAAAUCUGUUACUGAAUUGUAUUCUUCUAUAUUUAGCUCCUCUUUGUCUCAAUUGAGUGAUUACUUUAUCCAUGUUUCAGGUCUCAAGUGGGACAGUAAUCCCCAUACUAUUCUUAUUUUGACCAAGCCAAAUUCGGAUGCUGUUAAACAUCUAUGCUCUUGAACUAGUCAGAUAAACAAUGCAGAAGUUUGUAGAUGUGUGACUGAGGAACAUGCAAGGGACCUGCCCUGUAAUGAAUGGAAUAAAAGAAGAUAUCAAAUCUGUGUGAGUUCUGGAUGUUGGUACUUCUAUCCAUAGGUUGGUCUUAUGUAGACUUACUGCUCGACUGCAAACAUUGCAGCAUGAAAUUCCAUGAUGAGCUUCAUACUAUUUGAGGCAGUAGCUUUCUGGUUCUGGGCUAUUGAUCUUUUUUGGGCAUAACAGGAGAACUGCAGCCAACAUUUCAAUGAAGAGGAGAAAAAUCUGUUACCACUGAUGGAGGCAGCUGAUUUGACCAUUGACAAAGGAAAAUUUUUGAACUGAGUUUUAAUGUGAUGCUAGGGACUCAUUCUCACCUAUUCCUCUUUUUUAUCGACGGGUUACUUCCUCAUGAAGCGAUGGAUUACUUGGAUUUGUGAUGAGCUGCACUGACAUGGAAACAACAGCCUCCAUGGUGCUUUGCUACAUGCACUUGGCCGAUGCAUAUUCUAUCUUCAACAAGAACUUUAGGGAACUUCCAGGAACUCUUAAUGCAGACUGCUUCGAUAAGAGACCUCAGAACAGGUUAGCUUUAAGCGAUGGUACAAAUUCAGCAGCAGUGACUAAAGUCUUUGCAAACUCUUGAAGACACUUCAUGACAUUAAUGCAAUUGCUUAAACUAUGAUCCAAUGAUUGUUCAAAGUUCAGUUUUGAUAAUUUGUACGACUGCUAUGGUGGUGGUGUUAGCUUUUAGUUUAUGCACAACUACUGCCUUAAUUUGCUAUUAUGCUUGUUGUAUACUACGUAUAUAAUAAUUUGUUUUAUUAACAAAAAUUGUAAUGAAAAUUGAUAAUUAUAUAUAUUUAUAUCAG